GCAAAUUUAUGAUGAUAUUAUGUGCUGUUUUCUUCGAUAAAUUUUUUCACGUCGAAGAUUGGCAAAUGUUAAGUAUUGAACUUAAAAACAGACAGCCGGGUCCUUUAUUAAGUAAAUACAAUGGAUUAAGACGAGAAGUACUUACCAUUUUAUCAACCAGCCCCGCGGCGGUGGCAAAUGCGUUACAACCGACUCUGGGUACGGCCAAGCCAUCGGCCAGUGUGCUCUUGCCUUCGACAGUAAUAGGACUUCCGUUUUCCAUGGCUUUCGUGAAACUGGGCACGCGGUCGGAUUCGACGCC